rnacentral:rRNA from 1 species
GAUGAACGCUGGCGGCGUGCCUAAUACAUGCAAGUCGAGCGAACGGACGAGAAGCUUGCUUCUCUGAUGUUAGCGGCGGACGGGUGAGUAACACGUGGAUAACCUACCUAUAAGACUGGGAUAACUUCGGGAAACCGGAGCUAAUACCGGAUAAUAUUUUGAACCGCAUGGUUCAAAAGUGAAAGACGGUCUUGCUGUCACUUAUAGAUGGAUCCGCGCUGCAUUAGCUAGUUGGUAAAGUAACGGCUUACCAAGGCAACGAUGCAUAGCCGACCUGAGAGGGUGAUCGGCCACACUGGAACUGAGACACGGUCCAGACUCCUACGGGAGGCAGCAGUAGGGAAUCUUCCGCAAUGGGCGAAAGCCUGACGGAGCAACGCCGCGUGAGUGAUGAAGGUCUUCGGAUCGUAAAACUCUGUUAUUAGGGAAGAACAUAUGUGUAAGUAACUGUGCACAUCUUGACGGUACCUAAUCAGAAAGCCACGGCUAGCUACGUG